AGGUCUGUUAGUAAGGGCUAUUCUUCAGGGUUCUGAUAUUCAAAAUUAUACCAGAGUUAAGAUAGUGUGCACCUAUUUCUAAGAACUCAGAAAACAACACACCAGAACAGAUGGGUUCUCAAGGCAACCCACCCAGUUUUAACUUUGUUUAUUUACUUUUAGAUAUGCAAACAAGUUAUACUUGGUUUUACUUCCAAUUGGUCAAGAAAUUGGCAGUAAUGUCUAACAAUGGAAAGCCAAUAUGAUGAUAAUUAGUUAUUAUAAUAAUUUACAGAAAACUAUACCAUAAAAUUUGACACUGAGUUACUGAAAACAACUCAUACUUCAUAAUAUGGGAUUAACACAAACAUGCUGGUAUACAUUUGGCAAUUUAUUUUCCAAUUGUAUACCUGGCCAUCCAUCCAACAUUGUGGCCUUUCUGUGCUGCUGGAACUGUUUUUUGUGAUAAAUUUUUUUUGUUUUUAAUUUACUGUGGUGUAACUUUCCCUAAUCCCACUGCUAACUGUGGAAGAGGGCAGACUAAUACAGAGGGUUUCCACCAGCAGCCUACAUGCAGUUUUCUUUUUGUUUCCAACCAAAAUUGAUCAUCUCAAGAGCUAUAAAGUCGGUGAAGAAAAUUGUCAUCUAAUCAAUUCAUCUAACAACUUAAGGGCAAUCUUCAGGCUCUACAUGUACAUCACUGGACUUGGCAUAGCCAAAAAGCUAAGAAACAUUGCUGAGAAACAUAUUGUGACUUUGUAAGUUUCUUGCAACCUAAACUACAAGCUACUUCAUGCAGGAUUUGGCCAAGGGAAUAAACAUCACUGGCUUUGCUACAAUGUGUGCCAUUCAGAACUUCAGGAGCAAUGUGCCUAUAGUGAAAAGUGUACUUCUUUGCCGGGGGAAAUGAACUGUCACAGGCCUUUCCAAAGUCUAUAAUUUGGCCAUGUUUAUCAGUU